rnacentral:rRNA from 1 species
CAGUAGCCGCGGUAAUACGAAGGGGGCUAGCGUUGUUCGGAAUUACUGGGCGUAAAGGGCGCGUAGGCGGCCAUUCAAGUUAGAUGUGAAAGCCCUGGGCUCAACCUAGGAAUUGCAUUUGAUACUGUUUGGCUUGAGUUCGGGAGAGGUGAGUGGAAUUCCCAGUGUAGAGGUGAAAUUCGUAGAUAUUGGGAAGAACACCAGUGGCGAAGGCGGCUCACUGGACCGACACUGACGCUGAGGUGCGAAAGCGUGGGGAGCAAACAGGAUUAGAUACCCCCGUAGUCCCUGUCUCUUAUAC